rnacentral:misc_RNA from 1 species
CUGGAAUCGCAAGAUCCCACAACCCCUGUGAACCUACCGAAACGUUGCCUCGGCGGGUGCCCGGCCCUGCGCCGGGCGCUGCGCCCGCCGGCGGCCCCCUACUCUUGUCUCUGCAGCGUGGCAUCUCAGAGUCCCAGAAACCAAGUCA